CUACGGGAGGCAGCAGUGGGGAAUCUUGCACAAUGGGGGAAACCCUGAUGCAGCGACGCCGCGUGAGCGAUGAAGCCCUUCGGGGUGUAAAGCUCUUUCGGCAGGGAAGACUUUGACGGUACCUGCAGAAGCAGCUGCGGCUAACUACGUGCCAGCAGCCGCGGUAAUACGUAGGCAGCAAGCGUUGUUCGGAGUUACUGGGCGUAAAGGGUGCGUAGGCGGUUCCCUAAGUUUGGUGUGAAAUCUCCCGGCUCAACUGGGAGGGUGCGCCGAAAACUGGGGGGCUAGAGUGUGGGAGAGGAGAGUGGAAUUCCUGGUGUAGCGGUGAAAUGCGUAGAUAUCAGGAGGAACACCGGUGGUGUAGACGGCUCUCUGGACCAUUACUGACGCUGAGGCACGAAGGCGUGGGUAGCAAACAGGAUUAGAAACCCGUGUAGUCC
rnacentral:rRNA from 1 species